rnacentral:lncRNA from 10 species
GAAACAGCCCAGCCCAGUGAACUGGGCUCAAACUCAAGACUGGCUGAUUCAACAAGGCACCCCUGCAGACAAAGCUGGCAGAGUAGAAGUUUCAACUCCUUUCCAUGGAUCUGAAUGCAUAUGCUUCCCAAAGAAAUUUUUACAAGAGAAACUUAAACCGCUACUGCCAGGAGCACUGGCCAUUCCAGCCAUGCCUCACUGGGAGGCCCUGAGCAUUCUAGCCGGCGGCUGCACAGCUGCUGGGGCAUCUCCAUGAGGAAGAGGGCGGUGGACAGGAGUCAUGAAGACUAAUUCGGAAACUCCCCUGAAGGAGGAGAAGACAUCUGAGCCAUCCUUGUGCCACCAAGCAAGAGUCACUCCAGCUCCUAAAAAGCCACCAUGGGAAGAGCUGCCUCCAAUUAAAGUUCUUGAUUGCACCAGAGGAUGUGUCCUUCUCUUUUCCUUUCCCCCUUACCAACUAAUGUCUUAUUAUUUUUAAAUAUAUUGUCACAUCUAACUAAGCUUAAAAAAUUUAGCCUAUUGGCUGGGCGCAGUGGCUCACGCCUGUAAUCCCAACACUUUGGGAGACCGAGGCAGGUGGAUCACAUGAGGUCAUAAGUUCAAGACCAGCCUGGCCAAUGCGGUGAAACCCCAUCUGUGCUAAAAAUAAAAAAAUCUGCCAGGUGUGGUGGCGUGCUCCUGUAAUCUCAGCUACUAGGGAGGCUGAGGCAGGAGAAUCACUUGAACCCAGGAGGCAGAGGUUGCAAUGAGCUGAGAUCUCGCCGCUGCACUCCAGCCUGGGUAACAGAGUGAGACUCCGUGAAAGAAAGAAAGGAAGGGAAGGGGGAAGGGGGAAGGGAAGAAAGAAAAAAGAGAGAGAGAGGAAGGAGAAAACAGCUUUUUGGAUACCUUCUGAAAUAAUUCCAAAUUUACAGAAAUGUCACAAGAAUAAUACAGAGAACUCCCAUUUAC